AGGGGACUGAGCUGACAUAUCCAGAUUCUUGGGCUGAGACUACCUCCCUUCACGGGUUGCCACUGGGCUCCACUGCCCGUGCAGUGGUAGUUGGAAGACCUAGUCGUAUUGCAAAUCAGCAUGCGACUAGGUAGAAGUGAAUUUGAGUAAAUUGCUUCCUACAGGGUUAUGUAGGUGGAACCCGCUGCUGUUUUGGGGUCUUUUUUUUCUGUGUCUGGUUUUAUCAAUCAAGACUGGCUACAGAUGCUCCACGGGUCCUCCACGUCAGCUCCACUGGGUCAACCGCACAGCUGCAACCCCUGCACUCCCUCUGCUCAGCGGAUCAUAUUGGUGCUUCUGGAACCUGGUGGCCUGUCGGGACUGGUACCCCUACGUUUUGCCGGAGUCCUGCUGGAGCAGCCGACGGACUAACGUUUUUUACUUGAUUCUUUUAUUGACCUGUAUACCGCAAAGGGCCUAUUUGCCUGUUCAUUUGUUUUAAUCUUUCAGAGCUGUGGCAACAGGGACUGGUUCUCAAGUGGACAUUCUGGUUGUUUGGUGCUGUUCCCUGGGUUUUGUGCUUUUCUUUUAUGUUUAUGCAUGCGUUUGUUUUUGGUUAUUUAUUCUGCUUGAGCAACCAGGUCUCUGUUGCAGGUGGGCUCUAGGCCCCAAUGGUUUUUAUCACAGG